rnacentral:rRNA from 1 species
GAUGAACGCUGGCGGCGUGCCUAAUACAUGCAAGUCGAGCGAACAGACGAGGAGCUUGCUCCUCUGACGUUAGCGGCGGACGGGUGAGUAACACGUAGAUAACCUACCUAUAAGACUGGGAUAACUUCGGGAAACCGGAGCUAAUAACGGAUAAUAUAUUGAACCGCAUGGUUCAAUAGUGAAAGACGGUUUUGCUGUCACUUAUAGAUGGAUCCGCGCCGCAUUAGGUAGUUGGUAAGGUAACGGCUUACCAAGGCGACGAUGCGUAGCCGACUUGAGAGGGUUAUCGGCCACACUGGAACUGAGACACGGUCCAGACUCCUAAGGGAGGCAGCAGUAGGGAAUCUUCCGCAAUGGGCGAAAGCCUGACGGAGCAACGCCGCGUGAGUGAUGAAGGUCUUCGGAUCGUAAAACUCUGUUAUUAGGGAAGAACAAAUGUGUAAGUAACUAUGCACGUCUUGACGGUACCUAAUCAGAAAGCCCCGGCUAACUACGUG